GUCCCAAAUUGUGUGACGCACAAGAACAACAAAAAAAACUUGUGCAGACAACCUGCAAUACGAAUCCACUGUCUAGAAUAACGUUUUGCCUGGAAUUUCAGGAGAGCUGAAGGUACCAAAGUCAUUGUAAGGAAAACGUUUUUUCUUGGUUUUUUUUUCUGUACUGCGUUUGUUGUGCUCGGUUUGGGCUUUUUUAUUGAACUUAAACUCAAAUAUAGGUCAUCAUACAUUUUCACUAUCAGCAGUUUUUAAAAAGGUUUAAAAAUUCCUAUGAAUUAAAAAUUCACAUGAUUUGAAAGCGCCAAAAUCUUCAGCGAAUGUACUUGCAACGGUUAAAAUUAACCUAGUGCAUGUACAAUUCAAAACAUUGCAAGUAUACAAACAUAUCACUGGACUAGUAUAUAUUUG
rnacentral:lncRNA from 1 species